rnacentral:ribozyme from 1 species
UGCCCAGCCACUUCUAUCCCUGCCUCCUCGUGGUACCGGUCGGAAGCUAUGAGCAGCCUUAGGGAAGAUCGUGUAACCUCGGUGGGAACUUUGUCGUAGGCUGACAGGGAAGG